GGGAAGGUGGCUCAGUGGUAGAGUGCUUGCCUUGCAUGCAUGAGAGGCCCUGGGUUCAAUUCCUCAAUACCA
rfam:Dipodomys ordii contig_35122, whole genome shotgun sequence.